UGAAAAAGAAGUGGCGGGCGCGCCUGGACCCGUAGCGCAGUAAUACACCUCGCUCGCGGCGUCCCGGCGCGUGCCGGCCGUAAAACCCCUUUAUCUCAAGGUUGACCUCGGAUCAGGUAGGAAUACCCGCUGAACUUAAGCAUAUCAAUAAGCGGAGGAAAAGAAACCAACAGGGAUUGCCCUAGUAACGGCGAGUGAAGCGGCAACAGCUCAAAUUUGAAAUCUGGCCUCGGCCCGAGUUGUAAUUUGCAGAGGAUGCUUCUGGCGCGGUGCCUUCCGAGUCCCCUGGAACGGGGCGCCACAGAGGGUGAGAGCCCCGUAUGGUUGGACGCCUAGCCUGUGUGAAGCUCCUUCGACGAGUCGAGUAGUUUGGGAAUGCUGCUCUAAAUGGGAGGUAAAUUCCUUCUAAAGCUAAAUACCGGCCAGAGACCGAUAGCGCACAAGUAGAGUGAUCGAAAGAUGAAAAGCACUUUGAAAAGAGAGUCAAACAGCACGUGAAAUUGUUGAAAGGGAAGCGCUCGUGACCAGACGUGCGCCGGGCCGAUCCUCCGGUGUUCUCACCGGGGCCCUCGGCCCGGCUCAGGCCAGCAUCGGUUUUCGCUGGGGGACAAAGGCGCCGGGAACGUAGCUCCC
rnacentral:rRNA from 1 species